rnacentral:lncRNA from 1 species
CAAUAAUUAUCAGUAUUAACUAUAUGAUACCAUAGAAAAGUACUGUAAAUCAACCUAAAAUGGGUUUAUUCACUAUGAUUAGUCUUGCAUGUAUAAAUGACUGUUAUAAAACAAUUAUAGUCCUGAAAAUGUAUUUUGGAUGCUACAUGGAGAAGAUAGAUGCUAUCAUAGGUACAUCACUUGUGUAAAUCUGUAUCAAAUAGAUUCCAGUAAAUAUGUCUAUGUGAAUACUUGCCAUGGGGUUGAAUUGAUGAUGAUGGACAUUCUUGAUUGGAAUGCAAUUCACUUGGUUGGAUUGUUUCUUCUAUAUUAUCAGUUAAUGAAAUGCUAUUUGAUAUAUGUAAUAAAGGGGAUUUCACUUCUUGUUCUUCAGUGUUUUCUUUGUUUUCAGAAUUGGUCUGAA